rnacentral:rRNA from 1 species
GAUGAACGCUGGCGGCGUGCUUAACACAUGCAAGUCGAACGGUGAAGGCGGAGCUUGCUCUGCUGGAUCAGUGGCGAACGGGUGAGUAACACGUGAGCAAUCUGCCCCUGACUCUGGGAUAAGCGCUGGAAACGGCGUCUAAUACUGGAUACGAGCUGCGAAGGCAUCUUCAGCAGCUGGAAAGAACUUCGGUCAGGGAUGAGCUCGCGGCCUAUCAGCUUGUUGGUGAGGUAACGGCUCACCAAGGCGUCGACGGGUAGCCGGCCUGAGAGGGUGACCGGCCACACUGGGACUGAGACACGGCCAAGACUCCUACGGGAGGCAGCAGUGGGGAAUAUUGCACAAUGGGCGAAAGCCUGAUGCAGCAACGCCGCGUGAGGGACGACGGCCUUCGGGUUGUAAACAUCUUUUAGCAGGGAAGAAGCGAAAGUGACGGUACCUGCAGAAAAAGCGCCGGCUAACUACGUG